rnacentral:rRNA from 1 species
UACGUAGGUGGCAAGCGUUGUCCGGAAUUAUUGGGCGUAAAGGGCGCGUAGGCGGUGUGUCAAGUCAGGCGUGAAAGCCCCGGGCUCAACCUGGGAACCGCGCUUGAGACUGGCACGCUCGAGUUCGGGAGAGGAUGGUGGAAUUCCCAGUGUAGAGGUGAAAUUCGUAGAUAUUGGGAAGAACACCGAUGGCGAAGGCAGCCAUCUGGACCGACACUGACGCUGAGGCGCGAAAGCGUGGGGAGCAAACAGG